AAAUUGAAGAGUUUGAUCAUGGCUCAGAUUGAACGCUGGCGGCAGGCCUAACACAUGCAAGUCGAGCGGAAACGAGUUAUCUGAACCUUCGGGGAACGAUAACGGCGUCGAGCGGCGGACGGGUGAGUAAUGCCUAGGAAAUUGCCCUGAUGUGGGGGAUAACCAUUGGAAACGAUGGCUAAUACCGCAUGAUGCUACAGAGCCAAAGCGGGGGAACUUGGGGC
rnacentral:rRNA from 1 species